CAAUAGCGUAUAUUUAAGUUGUUGCCGUUAAAAAGCUCGUAGUUGGAUUUCGGAUGGGAUUUGCCGGUCCGUCGUUACGAUGUGCACUGGCCAGUCCUAUCUUGUUGUCGGGGACUAGCUCCUUGGAUUCACUUCCUGGGACUAGGAGCUGACGAGGUUACUUUGAGUAAAUUAGAGUGUUCAAAGCAAGCCUACGCUCUGAAUACAUUAGCAUGGAAUAACACGAUAGGACUCUGGCUUAUCUUGUUGGUCUGUGAGACCAGAGUAAUGAUUAAGAGGGACAGUCGGGGACAUUCGUAUUUCAUUGUCAGAGGUGAAAUUCUUGGAUUUAUGAAAGACGAACUUCUGCGAAAGCAUUUGUCAAGGAUGUUUUCAUUAA
rnacentral:rRNA from 1 species